UCAAGUUGGCUAAUAUACAGUGUAUGCAGCGUGCUCUUGGUUUUGCGGGUAGAUUCCGGUGACAACCCCUGGAUCUUGACCUUAAAACUAGAUCAUGGUGUGUCUUACUUUUAUAAUCUGGGCUCGAUAACUAUUUCUUGAAAACUAGGUGAUCAUUAACUCAUAGCAACAAUAUUUUUCUUGUUGCUAAAAAGACGUGAAACUAUCUGUUGUUUGAGAAGUAUCAUGGUGGUACCUAAGGCAUAAAACACCUUCUCUUCUAGACAGCAAAAGAUGCUGACCUUUUGUUUUAUGGCGAGAGCACAUAAGGAAGGCUAAAUCUGCAUCAGACAUUUGAAUAGAUGCUUCAGAGGAGUAUGGAGGGUGAGGAAUGUUUUUAAUGACAUCCAAGAUUAGAAUUUGCUCGGAGAAAGUCCCAGUAUUGUGACUAUUUUGCUUACCAGUCUAUCCACAGCACUUGACCCUGUGUUUGGUAAAUUGUGGCAUCGAUACAUAUUUGAGGAAUAAAUGAACCCUGAUUGAGAUGCUGCCUGAUGCGGAAGCUCCGAGGGAAGAUAAAAAAAAAACUUGAAUCAGUAUCAAAAUCAUAUGGCUUGGCUAAGUGGUACCUGCCUAUGGAAUCAAAGAUGGAUGAGCGAUCAAUAAAUAUUGCAGUAGUCUUCAGUUCUUUUUAACUAUAUCCACCAUAGAUUAAAAAGUAUCAAAAGGGUCAGCAGCAGGGGGGCCUGCGUGGCUUAGUCAGUUGAGCAUCUGACUCUUGAUACUGGUUCAUGUAAUCUCCCAGUGGUGAGAUAGAGCCCCGAGUCAGGCUCCACGAUGACAACGUGGAGCCUAAUUGGGAUUCUCUCUCUCCCUCUCUCUCUGCCCCACCUUCUCUCUCUCUCUCUCUCAGUAACUAAAUACACAUUUUUUUUUUUUAAACAGGGUCAGCAGGAGAAUAAUGGUACUUUCCCUGCUCCUUUUCCAUGUAGAAUAUUAAAUAGAGAAGCCAGACCCACAAUGCAUUAGGAAGAAAGCUAGCUCAGAAUGUGGAGCAUCUGUGGAGCAGACUGACUGAAGGUGGCACAGGAGAAAGUUACCCUUUUUGAAGACGGAGGUGGAUACUGUGACUCUGUCCUUGAAGAAUCGGGAGGGCAGUCAGUCACAGAGCUUUGUGGAGGUUUGACUAUUCAGAGCAGGACUUGGAGAGGUAGGGCAGCUGAAGAUUUUACCCUGGGGACUUCAGCUGGGAGCAGUUAAUUAGUUGGCUAUGCCUUAAUGCAUCCGGUUGGUCAAUUCUUAAGAUAGCAUGCUAUUGUGUCUUCUGAAAGAAUGAGCUAGAGCCACAGACCACUGGUUUGGAGUUCCUUCCCAGAAUUUUAAGCAAAGAAAGCAAACUGAAGGAGAAUAAGAAAGGAGAAAGGAUUCAACCAACAAGUUAAUCAGAAGAGAUCCGACUCGAAAGAAGAAAAUCAGACAGCAGCCAUUGAAGGGCAGGGCUCCUAGAACCUUCUCAGCGGGCAUGCGGGCCUUAAGAGAGAGAGACAGAGCAUGAACAGGGGAGGAGCAGAGAGAGAGGGAGACACAGAAUCCGAAGCAGGCUCCAGGCUCCGAGCUGUGAGCACAGAGCCCGACGCGGGGCUCCAACUCACAGACCCCGAGAUCAUGACCUGAGCCGAAGUCGGACGCUCAACUGACUGAGCCACCC